GGCUUCUCUAUGUAGAACAUGGACCAAAUCUCUGGAACCGACCUUUGAUCUGGAGGAAGAGAUGGUUGUCAUCAGGAAUGGAUGGUGGGGAGCCCACUGCUCUCCUCCAGAGGCCCCUCCCCCGACCGUCGGCUGCUUUAAAUAAUUUUGAAAGGAAACAUUGUACAAAUUGGGGAGUGAAUCAUGAAGACAGAGAAUACGCUGCUCCACGCUGAACAUCUCUGAGCCGCAUGACCUGGGGAAGCUGCCUCCCAGGCCUCAGCCUCUGUCCUCCUCAUGGGGAGCGAGCCGCACAGCCAUACCCGUGAUGGGUUGAAGUAAGACCCGCAAUCAUUUUAAAUGCUGAAGAAAUGAUAAAUGCAAAAAAAGUCAAAAGUGUCUG